UUUUCUUUCAUUUCAGAACUGAGUUUUUUGAGCCUGAUCAUUUCAAAUGAUCGUACGUAAUGGGUCCUCAUUUUCUAACCUAUCUUGUUAUUUAUUGGCAUUUUUGUGUGUUAAUACUCUAUUUAAAACCUUGUUUCAUGUCUGCUCCUGUAAUUUCUUUUUAUCCAUAUGGAAUCUCAAGCUGCCAUUGAUAAUAUAUACACACACAAAUAUAGCACAGCAAAGGCAUAAUGGUUUUGCAGCAAUCAGCAAGGUCUGGUCAUAGGCUAGAUGCAGUAUACUUCUCGGAAUUAUUUGGAUAAUAUACAGCUUUACAAAUUAAUUUUCACUGAAGAUGUAUAUUAACUAGUGUCCUUCUUCUUCAUCAGAUGGUAUACAUUGAAUUUUAUUCACAUCAAGAUAUUAUGUUAAAGGGUGAGAUAAGAAAGUACAUUGUUUAAAGAGUUAAUUCAAAAAAAAAAAGAAAAAGAAAAGAGGAGGAUGAGGAUAUAUCAGUCUGUCCUCUUUCACUUAAUAUCAAGAUCUUUUUUGAUAAAUUCAAAUUCGUAGGGUAAGUGCAAUUAAGAUUUUCAUUUAAUAUUUUACCUAUAUUUUGGUUUUGGAAAAUAAAUAAAGGCUUGACCUGAGGAAGCAAGGCAUUGGUGUGAAAGUGUGAGGUGGUUGGUGUGUGGAUUAAGAGCAGACAUUAAAUCUUUCAGAGCAAUUGAUUGUUCUUUCUGCAUAAUAAAGGUCGACUACUUUGUUGACAAAUUCAUAUAUGAGUAGGUAAUAAGAUUCCAUCUUCCUUUUACUCUCAUUAUUAAAGCUCCUUUCCUUUCCUUUUCUUUCUUCUGAAUCUUAUUAAAGUUUUCAGACCAGACCCACCCACAGCUACAUCUGCACCUCGCUCUCAUUUUAUAAUCAUAAUGCAAAUAUCCUUUCUUGUUUCAUGAAUCUCUCAUUCUUCUUGCUCCUCUCAGUGAUUGAAUGCAUAAAUAACAGACUUUCAUUAAAAAAAAUCUUAUACUGAUACCUAGAUUUAUUGAUUGGUUACUUACCCCUCCAACAAUCAGUUUUUGCUACAUGACCUUUUAGAGAAAGCUUCUUUGGUUUCAAAGAAACCUAAUUAAUCUAUUCCCAUGCAAAUGCGAGCAAGAAACCAGG
rnacentral:lncRNA from 1 species